GAUGAACGCUGGCGGCGUGCCUAAUACAUGCAAGUCGAGCGAAUGGAUUAAGAGCUUGCUCUUGUGAAGUUAGCGGCGGGCGGGUGAGUAACACGUGGGUAACCUGCCCAUAAGACUGGGAUAACACCGGGAAACCGGGGCUAAUACCGGAUAACAUUUUGAACCGCAUGGUUCGAAAUUGAAAGGCGGCUUCGGCUGUCACUUAUGGAUGGACCCGCGUCGCAUUAGCUAGUUGGUGAGGUAACGGCUCACCAAGGCAACGGUGCGUAGCCGACCUGAGAGGGUGAUCGGCCACACUGGGACUGAGACACGGCCCAGACUCCUACGGGAGGCAGCAGUAGGGAAUCUUCCGCAAUGGACGAAAGUCUGACGGAGCAACGCCGCGUGAGUGAUGAAGGCUUUCGGGUCGUAAAACUCUGUUGUUAGGGAAGAACAAGUGCUAGUUGAAUAAGCUGGCACCUUGACGGUACCUAACCAGAAAGCCACGGCUAACUACGUGCCAGCCGCCGCAGUAA
rnacentral:rRNA from 1 species